CACCUCGGCCUCCCAAACUGCUGGGAUUACAGGCAUGAGCCACCACGCAGAGCCUCCUGAAGCAGCUCUUCCUGCUUCCACUCUCACUCUUCUCUAAAUCGUUAUCUGCCUGGCAGUCUGAAGUCUUUCUAACUUGCAAACUGGCUCCUGUCAUUGGUCUCCUUAAAACUCUUAAGUAGCUCCCCAUUACGAUCUGCUUUGCAAACUUUUCCACAAGCAUUUCCCCAAUGGCAAAGGAGAGAGCAGGCCUGGGAUCUGAAGUUCCCUGUCACAAGUACAAAAUAUCUUAGGAGUUUUAUAAUUUAUCUUACAAAUGUAUGCAGAUUUUGCACUCUACUUCUUUAGUAAUAAAUAUUUUAAAUUACUCAACACUUAGCAAAAACAAUGCUCCAGGAAGAUAUUUCUUGUUUAUCCUGUGGUUUUGCAAUAUGGCCACCAGGAUAUCAAAGUCUGAGAAAGGCAAAAGCAGAUCAAGAUCAGAUAAACUUAUUUGAUGCACAAAGCCCUUCAAAACCUGGUGCUUGAUUUGCUUUCCCUUCUUACCUUUUGCCAUUCUCUCACACCCACCUUCCCCAGGCUGGCUCAUCUCAAUGCCACCCUCCCCUCCAAGACUGCUUUAGGUCUCCCUUCUCUGUUCCCCCUCAGGAUCCUGUGCCUUGUUGCCUGUACAUGAUCAGUCCUUAUUGUUUAUCUCUGUGUCUGUAGCACUAACCUUGAGGAAAGGAGAUGCGUUGUGUUCAUUGUUACCCAAACCUGGCCCAGUGCCUGGUAGAUCUCAAGCACACAGUAAACGUCUAUGGAAUGAAUUAGUGAAUGAGUAAAUGGAUUACCAAUUAUUCCAAGUAAGUGCUCAUUUGAAGCUUUAAGGACCCUGAUAUCUGAGAUUAAGCGAUAUUCUAUUUCAGUAGCCUUCCCCCAUCUGUUACUCCAUCCUUCCCAAUACAUACAUGUAAGAAGAGAAAUUUAUUUUGGGUUGAUUUGAUUGCCCAAGAACUGAAAACUGCGAUCAUGUCUAGGACCAAAUCAUGGAUUCAAAUUUACUAAGAGACAUGUAAAGUUCAAAGAAUGAUCCUUUUCCCUGGAAACUGGAAGGGAUUUUUGAAAGCACAAGGACUCCCUAGCUUGAAGCAGCAAUUAAAGAAUGGAUCUUUGGUAACAUCAUCCUUUCUGAUCUAGACAGCAAUCAAAUGUAAUCUGCAAAGGUUUCAGAGGAAAGUUGAGCUCAUGUUUAAGAAGAUACUCAACCUCAUCGUUCCAUUUGUCAUAGAGAAUCGUAACUCAUCUGUCCACCUAUCUUUUCUGUUUCUGACAUUUACUAUAAAAUGUUGUCACUGGGACUGUAACGUCUAAUCAGCCAGGCUAUUUGAAUGAUCUGAUGAGCUAGUUUUAGGGUUCAAUGUGUCAUUAAAAAAAAAAAAAAACUUUUCUAGUGGAGUACAACUAGUGGAGCCGCCAUAACUUCAAAGUCUCUUAGAAUGGUUUUGGCUGAAGUCAAACAUCCUCUUCAUUUGAUACAAUUUUUGGUUAUGCGUGACAUAUGCUCAACAGGAAAAUUCUGCAGAUGGAAUCUUUCUACCGAGGGAAGUAGUUUGCUCUUAUUAAAAAGUCUGAAUGGGGACUAGAGAUAGAAUGAAGAGGAAAAGGAAGCCACAGAAAAAGCUCUGGCUGCAAGGCCAUCCCUAGGCACCUGACAACAUAGAGCAGUUGGCAGAGGAUUGAAGUUAAGCAGCUGAGUCCCGUCCUCUGAGAGCUUGCAGUCCCCAACCGACUCAAAUGCAUGAUUAAACAUCACUUGGCCAACUAUGCAAGUAUUGAACCACAACCAAAGUAGGUUUUUAAAAAUAGAUUCAAAUUAAAAUGCAAGCCAAUAAAGUAAGAGUAAAUCACUCCUUCCCACUGCAGUAUGGAAUAUAAUCGAGGUAUUUUCAACUGGUUAACAAUGGAUCCUUCCUGAAAUAUUCGACCCUUCACUGGCUUAGAAGGAUAUUAAUUUUAAGUACCUGUGAAAUGAAGUUCUUAAAACCUAAGAUUCCCCAAAACUCCAGUUAUCAACAAGGUUAUAUAGGAAUCAAAGCGAGGCGUUUGGAGUAGAUGCCGAGAUCACCUCUCCCUCACACCUCUGCUGACCCCAGCUACCUGCAAUCCUGCCAGGACCAUUCUGGAGUACCUUUCACUGAAGACAAAUUUAUUGUAAAAUUUCUACUGGGAUUCAUUGUAGGAAAUCAUUGCUAAUUUCAAAAGAAUGUGGAAGGGUCUCAACAGAACAUUCAUGGGAUAUCACAGAGAACCAUGCUAUGUAUGCAAAAGAAGAGUGGUCUUUCUAAUUCUCUUAUGAAAAAUGCCCUUUCUUCAGAAGAAAUUAAGUCAUGAGGCAACAGAAUUCCACAAUGAUAUGGUUGAGGAAAAUGGAGACCUGUCCACAGAGGAGCCCAGCAUCAUAAUGAACAGCCAUCUGGAAUCUUUGGCUUUGGUACCAAACUAAUACUGCCCUAGAAUUUGCGAAGUGUGGCCUUGGAGAAAGAGGUGGGUAUCCUGCAAAGAUGUUUCACCCAGGCACCAACUACAUGAAACAUCCUGCUGCACAGCAGAAAGCAUUUCAAGACUUGCUGAAUAUGUUUCGUAAAUCUUGUCUCUGUCCUAGAUUCCCAGGGUUCUUGGGUUACAUGCAGAACAAUUCACUUUUAUCAACACUUUAUUUUUCUAAAGAUAGGUUAAUAAUAUAAUAAUUUUAUGACUGAUAAUGUAUAAUUAGUUUACAGCUAGGGUACAUUUUUUGUGUGUGCUUGACUAGAUACCUAUUUCAUCAUGAAAUCACUUGGAGUUAGAAGAGGGCUUACUUUUACAGCCACAGGUAUCAUUACUGUUAUUGAGUUGUUAGAUAUACUGAUUUAGAAUUUUAAACUUUUCCAUGAAGUUGACUGGAAUGAAAAGCAGCUAAUGUAUGUUAGAAAAUAAAAAUGUGGCUAUGCAACCAUAAAAAAGAA
rnacentral:lncRNA from 1 species